rnacentral:rRNA from 1 species
GAUGAACGCUAGCGGCAGGCUUAAUACAUGCAAGUCGAGGGGUAGCAGGAUUGUAGCAAUACAAUUGUUGACGACCGGCAAACGGGUGCGGAACACGUACACAACCUUCCUACAAGUGGGGAAUAGCCCAGAGAAAUUUGGAUUAAUACCCCGUAACAUAGCGAUGUGGCAUCACAUUGCUAUUAUAGCUUCGGCGCUUGUUGAUGGGUGUGCGGCUGAUUAGAUAGUUGGCGGGGUAACGGCCCACCAAGUCUACGAUCAGUAGCUGAUGUGAGAGCAUGAUCAGCAACACGGGCACUGAGACACGGGCCCGACUCCUACGGGAGGCAGCAGUAAGGAAUAUUGGACAAUGGACGCAAGUCUGAUCCAGCCAUGCCGCGUGAAGGAUUAAGGUCCUCUGGAUUGUAAACUUCUUUUAUCUGGGACGAAACCCGGGCAUUCUUGCCCGAUUGACGGUACCAGAGGAAUAAGCACCGGCUAACUCCGUGCCAGCAGCCGCCGUAAUAC